rnacentral:RNase_P_RNA from 1 species
GAAGUUGACCAAACAGUCGCUGUUUAAUUUUAAUCAAAUUAAAAAGAGGAAAGUCCGGGCUCCAUAGAGCAAGGUGCCAGAUAACACCUGGAAAGCGUAAGCUUAUGACAAGUGCAACAGAAAAUAAACCUCCAAUUUGUCAUUAAUACAAUAUGGAAAGGGUGAAAAGGUGCGGUAAGAGCGCACCGCAUAAUUGGUAACAAUUAUGGCUAGGUAAACUCCACCUGGAGCAAAGCCAAAUAUAGGAUAACAUUUUAUUAACUUGUGCUGCUCGUGCUAUUGAAACCUGGGUAGGCUGCUUGAAUUAAUAAGUGAUUAUUAAUCUAGAUGAAUGACUGUUUAAACAGAACCCGGCUUAUAGGUCAACUUCAUAA